CCCGACCCGCGGACGAACGUAACCAGAGACACAAGCAGCAGCGGCAACCGCGGGCACUAGCACUUCCUCCCACGUGCGCGCCGGCGACAGGAAGUGACGUCACGGCUGCGCCGUUUGGGCAUCAACUCCCAGGUACUCUGGGCUGCCCCAUUGGGGCUGGGCAUGUGCCUGCAGCCAGAGAAAGCCCUUAGGCAGAUGCACAGCUGCUUGUGGUGGAAGGCCACAGCAUGCCCGCGAACUGCACUGUGAUCUCCAGCGUGGUCGGACAGGAUGUGGUGGGACACGGUCUGCUAUAUGGACAAUCUCCAUGACCACCACUAUCUCCACGGCACUCACUACCUGCCAUUCUGUGAUGACUUCUUAUACACAACCCCAUUUCAUCCUUGUACCAACCUGGGAAGGUAAGUGUUAAUGUCUCCAUUUACUGAGCAAAUGGGCUGAGAGAGGUUAAGUAA